AAGUGCAAUUGGCAAGCAAAAGGAAAUGCUGGACGAGGAGAGGAUGAUGAGGCACCUAAUUGUGGGCUUGGGAAGUGACUUGUCGACCCUGCCCUGAGAGCCUGCUCGAGAAGGUUGGCAAACGCUCCUCGUCCUGCUGUGAAUCCCUCAGGCUUGUGAGGGACGACAGAUGGUUGAGCUAAACUCGGAGCCACCCCUCUACAUAAUGAAGAAAAAUGACCAGCCUCCUGGUGCUUGCUACUGUGCUGUGGGAACAGAAACAGACACUAAUCUACUCUUUGGCACAGGAUCUUGGCGUCGAUCUAUCUAUCUGCAGAGGAUUGGAUUGAGGAUGUUUCAUUAUCAGCAAGGGACUCAGGGUUUGAAGUAUGGAUCCUGUUAGAGCAGCAUGUUUAGGACCAAGAUCAACUACCUUGCUAAGAGGCCACGGGAAGAACCUCUCAAUUUUCUUAAUGGUCUCGAAGUGGAAUCUACCAUGGUCUGUGUCUAGACAAGCACCAUUUAAAAUAAAGAAUCUUCAGUGUUUAUUGUUCUUCUUGCGCUCU
rnacentral:lncRNA from 1 species